rnacentral:rRNA from 1 species
CGAAUCAGCCGUCGCUCGUCGGCGGCGCAUUUCGGCGGGCUCAGGCCAGCAUCAGUUCGCUGUAGGGGGAGAAAGGCGGUAGGAAUGUGGCUCUUCGGAGUGUUAUAGCCUGCCGUGUAAUACCCCUCGGCGGACUGAGGACCGCGCAUCUGCAAGGAUGCUGGCGUAAUGGUUGUCAGCGACCCGUCUUGAAACACGGACCAAGGAGUCGUCCUAAUAUGCGAGUGUUCGGGUGUAAAACCCCUACGCGUAAUGAAAGUGAACGGAGGUGAGAGCUUCGGCGCAUCAUCGACCGAUCCUGAUGUUCUCGGAUGGAUUUGAGUAUGAGCAUAUUGGGCCGGACCCGAAAGAAGGUGAACUAUGCCUGUAUAGGGUAAAGCCAGAGGAAACUCUGGUGGAGGCUCGCAGCGGUUCUGACGUGCAAAUCG